AAAGCGCACGUAGGCGGAAAUUUAAGUCAGGGGUGAAAUCCCGAGGCUCAACCUCGGAACUGCCUUUGAUACUGGGUUUCUUGAGUCCGGAAGAGGUGAGUGGAACUGCGAGUGUAGAGGUGAAAUUCGUAGAUAUUCGCAAGAACACCAGUGGCGAAGGCGGCUCACUGGUCCGGAACUGACGCUGAGGUGCGAAAGCGUGGGGAGCAAACAGGAUUAGAUACCCCGGU
rnacentral:rRNA from 1 species